rnacentral:rRNA from 1 species
UACGUAGGGACCAAGCGUUGUUCGGAUUUACUGGGCGUAAAGGGCGCGUAGGCGGCGUGACAAGUCACUUGUGAAAUCUCUGAGCUUAACUCAGAACGGCCAAGUGAAACUGUUGUGCUAGAGUGCAGAAGGGGCAAUCGGAAUUCUUGGUGUAGCGGUGAAAUGCGUAGAUAUCAAGAGGAACACCUGAGGUGAAGACGGGUUGCUGGGCUGACACUGACGCUGAGGCGCGAAAGCGUGGGGAGCGAACAGG